UCCACCUGAAUCUUUCAUCGAACCUAGGGUUUUGGACGACAACAUCUCGUUAGUGGAGGACGAAGCCUCAGUCGCCUGUGGCAUCGAACAAAACCAAUCAAACUCAAACCAAUCACACAAAUCCAUUCACGCACAUGUACUUAUAUAUAUAUAUAUAUAUAUAUAUAUAUAUAUAUAUAUAUAUAUAUAUAUGCAUUGUUGCUUUCUCGAUGGGGUCAUAAAAAACAACUUAAUUAUCAUGACUGUAAAAAUUACAAAUCACAAAAUACCAAUCAAGCAUUUUAAAUUCAUUUGAAUACAUAUAUAAGAAAUCACCAAACAAUUUCAAUACUUUUGUUUGUAAAGGAAAUAAUUUCAAUACUUGGAUCCAAUAAGUGAUUGUUUCAAUUGCACUUCAACUACAAUAUAAGUAAAUAAUCAAACAGAACAAAUUGAUAUAUGUAUAAACGAUCGAAUAGACAACAUAAUACCAAUGUAUAAACGAAAAUUAUAAGAAUGUAUGGAGCUGACCACAUAUCAUCCAUAUAAAUAUUAAUAAAGCAAGUUGAAGAUACAUGGAGUAAGCUGCUUUAACAUAUUAUCUUGAACUUGUGCCCACUUUUCCUCUAGUUCUUGAAUAACCUCUUCCAUUGAACUUAGAUUCAUAUGGAUUCAUUUGAAUAUCUGAAAGAUCAAAUUUAUGUCUUCACUGGAACAUAUUAGUUUCCCUGAAGAACCAAACCAAAAGGUAUCACCAAUUAGACCAACAAUAUAUCUUACAAAUAAGAUUAAGAAUAUUAGAAACAGAUAAUCACAUAAAAGAAUGGAUUCCAUUUUACCUCAGAACACCCUUGUCAACAUAUAAACAAUUUUACAUAUAUUAUAAAAGAAUAAAAUAGAAAUACUAAAAAUUCUAGACAAAAUUGGGGAGAAUAUAAGAGAUGCAACUUUGAAAAUUAUGUAUGAGAAAUACUGGAUCAUAGUGAGCAACACUCACCUCAAAUACUGAAACACUUCCUAAUUAAAUUAUGAAAAGUAAUGUGCAGUGUAUUCCAUCUUUAUUCUAAGCUUAUGAAUAAUCUGAAAUGCAAAAAAAAUUCUUAACAACUAUUCAAAGUUAGUAUAAUACCCAUAGGGAGGAGGCAGCCAAUCUUCCUCUUCCGUGUCUUCACCACAAUCAACAAUUUGUAUGACUUCCUCGUUCGUUGGUCCCUUUUCAUCCUAAUUAACAUAAUUAAACAGCUACACGAAAGAAACUGCAGUAUAAUACUAAAAGCAACCCAAAUCACAUAUAGUUGUGUUAAGAUAUUAUAAUUGAUUUUAUUUUGUUCCUUGUAAUAGUUGAAUAGUACAUCUUAUCUUAUUGAAUGUCAUACCCAUACGACUAAAUUUAUAGCUCCCUUCAUAUGAAUAUCAUUCCAUAAUUAAUUUGGACAUUGAGGUUGCAAAUUCGGCCUUAUGUGAUCUCAAACAAUGUAGUUGAUUUUGUUAGAAAAUUCUAAUUAUUUCAAACAUUCUGUUAAUUUGGAUAUAAAUAUUUUGUAAUAAUAAAUAUAAAAACGUGAAUAAAAUAUAACUAAAUGUAUCCAUUAUUCUCCACUCUUGUAGCAUGCACUAAAGAGAAGAUAGUAGUAGUAGUAUCAUGUACAACUCCUAUUAUCCUGCCUGCAUUAAAUGUAUUGAACGUAAUAAGUGAACGUGGUGGUGGUGGUGGUGAUGGUGAUGGUGGUGGUGGUGGUGGUUUUACUCACCAAAGAUAGAAGAAAUGGAUCAUGUGAUAGGAAUGAGUGGCAGAGUGUAAUGCAGGCCUCAGAAUGUGAUAGGAAUGAGUGGCAGAGUGUGAUUCACAUGGGAAUCAUGUGCAUCAAAGUACCAUAUAGUAUACGUAAAAUGAAGCUAACAUGUAUAAAUGUACAAAAAAAGAGAAUUAAUAUGGCAGUUCCAAACUGAAGGUUUUGCAAAGCAAAAGAACUAAAGCAAAAAAUUAAUAAAUAGAUUAUCCACAUUGAAGUGCUAAUUUGGAACUUACAAAGCAUUCCAUCAUCAUCAUUGUUUGGAACAUCAUCGCCAUUGUCCUGCACAGAACAUAAUUGGUUUAGAUGGCAAAAUAGCAGUCUCCCUUAAAAAUUAAUACUAUAUAGCAGCAAAGAUCAACUUACCCCCAAUAAUCCUCAGAGUCCAUAUCAGUUGCAAACACAUACGAACCAUAUAUAGAUCUUCUUCAGACUGAAACAUAUUGCAUUGAUGAACCCCAGGCUUUUAGUAUAGUAGGUGGCUUAUGCAGAUAAAGUGUUUCCCUAUAUAGUUCCACGAAAAAUAUAAUUAGAACAAUGAAUCAUCUUUUUAUAGGAGUUAGUUCUUAUUCCAAAAACAUGAAAAACUAAAACCCUCAUUACAAUUGAGCAAUUAUGCCAACACAUAUAUACAAUUGACACAUGUGGAUAUAUUUAUUUCGAGAUGCAAAUGCCAAAUGGGUAAUCCAAUCAAACCAUUGAGACUACCAAAUAUAUAUGGAACUAAUUAAUCAAAGAGUGAAUACCUCAACAUUGAGACUGACAUCGAGCUCCAAUCCAUCAUUAGAGACCGAAAAAUCAACCUAAUUCCUUCUUUCUCGGUUCAAUAUCUUUAAUCAUGCAAGCAGAAUUAAAACAUACCACUCAAAUCAUAAUCCAAAACAAAACACUAAUUACUCUACAUAAAAGCAAAUUAUAUGCAAAUAUGAGAUGAAAUUGAAGUGAAUUCUUACAUACGUGAACCGAUUGAAGAGUUUAAAACAUAGUAGGUGGAAUUUAGAAUCUAUGAACUAAGAAUUUUAGAGGGAGAGGGACUACAGACUACAGAGAACUCCCGUCGAUAUAGCUUUUCUCUUUCAUCGGGCAAAUUAUAUGCAAAUAUGAGACGAAAUUGAGGUGAAUUCUUACAUACAUGAACCGAUUGAAGACGUUAAAACAUAAUAGGUGGAAUUUGGAAUCUAUGAACUGAGAAUUUUAGAGGGAGAGGGACUACAGACUAUAGAGAACUCCCGACGACAUAGCUUUUCUCUUUCAUCGGGGGUUUGGUUUGGCGCUACCUCCUCCUUUUUGACUGAAACCAGUCGGAAAGCUAAAGAAAAUCCUCCAAUAAACAAUUGUGUUACAAACCUGUCCUUGAUUAUCCAAUCGGGUUUGUUGCAUGCAAAUAAAUCCGGGUUUGGCUUAUCUAUUUUCACGUGUAAUUUAGCGUUGGACUCGCCAGUUAACGUCGUCGUCAUCGGCAAAAAAAAUCGAACGAUCGACAAACUCCAUUGUUUGCAAUUUAUCGAAUUGCUCCACCCAAAAAAGCCCCAAAUCGUAUUCAUUUGUCAAAGUUUAGGGUAAAUCAUAGAUAGAGAAAAGAGAUUUGGGAUGCGUGUGGGAGGAGGGAGAGAAACGGAACAAAAGAAAAAUUGAGGAAAUCAAUUUCGCUGAGAAGGGGAAGGGAAGAAACUGAAGUGAUUGAAGAUAAGGUAGUGAAGAAGAAACAAAUGGUUUAUGGCUGAGGAAGAGGAAGGGAUUAGCCCAUCUCAAUAAAUAACUCAGUGAAAUUGCAAAAUUUGCUUAAAUUGAUUAUGAGUCAAUUUCAAAUUGGAUUGUCUUUACUGCCUUUAUAUAUAAG
rnacentral:lncRNA from 1 species